AACGAACGCUGGCGGCGUGCCUAACACAUGCAAGUCGAGCGAGAAAGCCCGCAAGGGUGAGUAAAGCGGCGCACGGGUGCGUAACACGUGGGUAAUCUGCCCUGAAGUCCGGAAUAACUCGCCGAAAGGCGUGCUAAUGCCGGAUAAGACCACGGGAACCUCGGUUCCUGCGGGAAAAGGUGGCCUCUGUACACAAGCUAUCACUUCAGGAUGAGCCCGCGGCCCAUCAGCUAGUUGGCGGGGUAAUGGCCCACCAAGGCUACGACGGGUAGCUGGUCUAAGAGGACGAUCAGCAACACUGGAACUGAGACACGGUCCAGACUCCUACGGGAGGCAGCAGUGGGGAAUCUUGCGCAAUGGGCGAAAGCCUGACGCAGCAACGCCGCGUGUGUGAUGAAGGUCUUCGGAUCGUAAAGCACUGUCGGGAGGGACGAAUAGGGCGCCGGCUAACAUCCGGCGCUGAUGACGGUACCUCCAAAGGAAGCACCGGCUAACUCUGUGCCAGCCGCCGCCGUAAGAC
rnacentral:rRNA from 1 species